UACGGAGGGUGCGAACGUUAAUCGGAAUUACUGGGCGUAAAGCGCGCGUAGGCGGUUCGGUAAGUGGGAUGUGAAAGCCCUGGGCUCAACCUGGGAACUGCAUUCCAAACUGCCGAGCUAGAGUGUGGUAGAGGGAGGUAGAAUUUCCUGUGUAGCGGUGAAAUGCGUAGAUAUAGGAAGGAAUACCAGUGGCGAAGGCGGCCUCCUGGAUCAACACUGACGCUGAGGUGCGAAAGCGUGGGGAGCAAAC
rnacentral:rRNA from 1 species